rnacentral:rRNA from 1 species
GCAGCCGCCGCGGUAAUACAGAGGGUGCGAGCGUUAAUCGGAUUUACUGGGCGUAAAGCGUGCGUAGGCGGCUUUUUAAGUCGGAUGUGAAAUCCCUGAGCUUAACUUAGGAAUUGCAUUCGAUACUGGGAAGCUAGAGUAUGGGAGAGGAUGGUAGAAUUCCAGGUGUAGCGGUGAAAUGCGUAGAGAUCUGGAGGAAUACCGAUGGCGAAGGCAGCCAUCUGGCCUAAUACUGACGCUGAGGUACGAAAGCAUGGGGAGCAAACAGGAUUAGAUACCCCCGUAGUCCCUGUCUCUUAUAA